rnacentral:rRNA from 1 species
CAGCCGUAAACUAUGCGCGUUAGGUGUACUGGUGACCACGAGUCACCGGGGUGCCGAAGGGAAACCGUGAAACGUGCCGCCUGGGAAGUACGGUCGCAAGGCUGAAACUUAAAGGAAUUGGCGGGGGAGCACCACAACGGGUGGAGCGUGCGGUUUAAUUGGACUCAACGCCGGGAAGCUCACCGGAUAAGACAGCGGAAUGAUUGCCGGGCUGAAGACCCUGCAUGACCAGCUGAGAGGAGGUGCAUGGCGUAGUCCGUG